rnacentral:pre_miRNA from 1 species
GGGGGCAGGCUGGAUCCUGGGCUGUGUCCCCGGCGCCCUGGGCUCCCGGGCCUGCGCUGUUGAAUUUGUGCUUCCGGAGCUGCGCAGCCCCCU